rnacentral:tRNA from 1 species
CGGGCCGUAGCGCAGUUGGUAGCGCACCUGCUUUGGGAGCAGGGGGUCGGAGGUUCAAGUCCUCCCGGCCCGA